rnacentral:tRNA from 1 species
GCCUUCGUGGUGUAGUGGUCAGCACGCUGUAUUCUAGAGGUCCGUGGUUCGAAUCCCGGCGAAGUCC